UACGUAGGGGGCAAGCGUCGUCCGGAAUCAUUGGGCGUAAAGAGCGUGUAGGCGGCUCGAUAAGUCUGCUGUGAAAGUCCAGGGCUCAACCCUGGAAGGCCGGUGGAAACUGUCGGGCUAGAGUCCGGAAGAGGCGAGUGGAAUUCCCGGUGUAGCGGUGAAAUGCGCAGAUAUCGGGAGGAACACCAAUGGCGAAGGCAGCUCGCUGGGACGGUACUGACGCUGAGACGCGAAAGCGUGGGGAGCAAACAGG
rnacentral:rRNA from 1 species